rnacentral:lncRNA from 1 species
AAAGUCUUAAACUUAUGUUUAGGAUGUUUGACAUGGAGAUGUAUGCCGUCGACUCUUUGCUCACUCAGCCUGCUCAGCCUAUGUCUUUUUGCCCUAAGUCAUCUUAUAAUCCUGUGCCUGCACCCGUAACGCCGGUUAACCCUCCGCCUAUACCAGUAGCGCCAACUAACCCUCUGCCUAAACCAGUAACGCCGGCUAGCCCUCCGCCUAAACCAGUGACGCCUUGGAUCCCUCCGCCUUUUAGGCUUCCCCCAAUGCCUCGAUUGCCCCCACUGCCACCACUGCCCUCAUUGCCUCCAAUGCCACCAAUGCCCUUCGUGGAAGCUACAGCAUGCCCACAUCAGUAAGUUAUUCAUUAAGUAAGCCGUAUAGGAUUGUGUCAAUCUAUCAUUUACGAAGCAAGUAGGAACGACUUUUACCGUUCAAUUGACUAAGUUGUACUAGACUGUAGAAAUAUACUGUAGUUCUGUAAGAAGUUUUAAGGUUCUUUAGCACAUCAAACACCGAAUAAUUUAGAUUUGUUGCUCCGUAAAAACACAAAAUAUAAAGUUUACUAUGAUGUAAUACGUUACACAUAACUGUAUUAUAGUUACCAACUAACUCUUGAUAGAGUGAUACAUGUAUUCCC